GUUGAAGUACUUGGACACCCUGUUUUACUCUAAAGACGAGUCAUGGGUAAAGGAUGGACUGAGUGGAUGGGGGGUUGACCUUGUUUCUGUCCCACCAAGCGAUGAUGUGUCAAGUUGUGUUGUAAUGCUAGCAUGGAUAAAGGACAUAGUCCAACGCAACAAAAUUUCUCCCACAUUCCAACCGGGUGCAAUAGAGGAUGCAAGGGUAUCACUUGCUGUUGAUGACAUCUUGUGCGAGUUGAAUGUGAGGAGACCUGAGGUGUACGACCUUAUUUCUGGGAGGCAAGUCCGUGUGUAGACCGUGUUUACGUGCUUGAACUUAAGUUUUUGGAUGUAUUUUGGAUGUAUUUUGGAUGUAUUUCGGCAACUCUGUUGCAUUUGAAUUCUGGUACUUAGUUUGGAAGUUAGUUUGGAAGUUUGUGUGGAAGUUAGUUUAUGACUAAACAUUUGAUGU